rnacentral:rRNA from 1 species
AACGAACGCUGGCGGCAGGCCUAACACAUGCAAGUCGAGCGGAUCCUUCGGGAUUAGCGGCGGACGGGUGAGUAACGCGGGGGAAUAUGCCCUUCUCUAUGGAAUAGCCUCGGGAAACUGGGAGUAAUACCGUAUACGCCCUACGGGGGAAAGAUUUAUCGGAGAAGGAUUAGCCCGCGUUGGAUUAGGUAGUUGGUGGGGUAAUGGCCUACCAAGCCUACGAUCCAUAGCUGGUUUGAGAGGAUGAUCAGCCACACUGGGACUGAGACACGGCCCAGACUCCUACGGGAGGCAGCAGUGGGGAAUCUUAGACAAUGGGGGAAACCCUGAUCUAGCCAUGCCGCGUGAGUGAUGAAGGCCUUAGGGUUGUAAAGCUCUUUCAGCUGGGAAGAUAAUGACGGUACCAGCAGAAGAAGCCCCGGCUAACUCCGUGCCAGCCGCCGCCGUAACAC